GACGAACGCUGGCGGCGUGCCUAAUACAUGCAAGUAGAACGCUGAAGCGAGGAGCUUGCUCUUCUUGGAUGAGUUGCGAACGGGUGAGUAACGCGUAGGUAACCUGCCUUGUAGCGGGGGAUAACUAUUGGAAACGAUAGCUAAUACCGCAUAACAAUGGAUGACACAUGUCAUUUAUUUGAAAGGGGCAAUUGCUCCACUACAAGAUGGACCUGCGUUGUAUUAGCUAGUAGGUGAGGUAAUGGCUCACCUAGGCGACGAUACAUAGCCGACCUGAGAGGGUGAUCGGCCACACUGAGACUGAGACCCGGCCCAGACUCCUACGGGAGGCAGCAGUAGGGAAUCUUCGGCAAUGGGGGCAACCCUGACCGAGCAACGCCGCGGGAGUGAAGAAGGUUUUCGGAUCGUAAAGCUCUGUUGUAAGUCAAGAACGGGUGUGAGAGUGGAAAGUUCACACUGUGACGGUAGCUUACCAGAAAGGGACGGCUAACUACGUG
rnacentral:rRNA from 1 species